rnacentral:rRNA from 1 species
ACCUUAAAACUAGCCUAACCAGUCAUUAAACAUAACCUUAUUAAUUAAAUCUACACUCUUCAAAAAAAUUAAAACAUUUCAUAACUUUUAGUAUGGGUGACAGAACAAAGAUCCAAGCGCAAUAGACUUAAGUACCGCAAGGGAAAGUUGAAAAAGAAAUGAAAUAAUAACUAAAGUACAAAAAAGCAGAGAUUAAACCUCGUACCUUUUGCAUCAUGAUUUAGCUAGACUAACUAGACAAAGAGACCUUAAGCCUAUCAUCCCGAAACUAGACGAGCUACUCCAGAGCAGCAUGAAAGAGCGAAUCCAUCUCUGUGGCAAAAGAGUGGAAAGACUCCCGAGUAGCGGUGACAAACCUAUCGAGCCUAGUGAUAGCUGGUUACCCAAAAAAAGAACUUCAAUUCUGCAUUAAUCUUUAAACGUCAACUAAGAAUAUCUCCCAAAGACUAAACAUAAAAAUUAAUAGUUAUUCAAAAAAGGUACAACUUUUCUGAAAAAAGAUACAACUUUUCAAGGUGGAUAAUGAUCAUAUUUAUCAAGGACUUUUCCCCAGUGGGCCUAAAAGCAGCCAUCUGUAAAGCAAGCGUCACAGCUCCAGCCCAUAAUUAAACCUAUAAUUUAGAUAUUAUUUCAAAAUCCCCUUAAUUAAUAUUGGGUUAUUUUAUAAAAUUAUAAAAGAACUUAUGCUAAAAUGAGUAAUAAGAGGUUAAACCUCUCCCAACACUAGUGUAUAUCAGAAAGAAUUAAAUCACUGAUAAUUAAACGACCUCAAACUGAGAAAAUUAUAGAAAUUUAACAUUAAACCAGAAAAACCUAUUUAAUUACUCGUUAAUCCUACACAGGAGUG